AAUCCUCAACCCCUCCGAUUCGUUUCGGUGGGGAUUGGACUUGGAGCGUGCUGGCGAAGGUCGGCUCCUCUUUAAAUGCAUCAGCGGAGAAAAUGCCUUUUGCGCCUCUGGCCGUUCAGCGUGAUAAUGACGUUGCGCUGCGGUCGAGCUUAAGGUCCGCUUCCAAAGGUCCUCGGACGAUAUACGUAUGAC
rnacentral:misc_RNA from 2 species